ACGAACGCUGGCGGCAGGCUUAACACAUGCAAGUCGAACGAAGGCUUCGGCCUUAGUGGCGCACGGGUGAGUAACACGUGGGAAUAUACCUCUUGGUGGGGAAUAACGUCGGGAAACUGACGCUAAUACCGCAUACGCCCUUCGGGGGAAAGAUUUAUCGCCGAGAGAUUAGCCCGCGUCCGAUUAGCUAGUUGGUGAGGUAAUGGCUCACCAAGGCGACGAUCGGUAGCUGGUCUGAGAGGAUGAUCAGCCACACUGGGACUGAGACACGGCCCAGACUCCUACGGGAGGCAGCAGUGGGGAAUAUUGGACAAUGGGCGAAAGCCUGAUCCAGCCAUGCCGCGUGAGUGAUGAAGGCCUUAGGGUUGUAAAGCUCUUUCACCCACGACGAUGAUGACGGUAGUGGGAGAAGAAGCCCCGGCUAACUUCGU
rnacentral:rRNA from 1 species